UAGUCAUAUGCUUGUCUCAAAGAUUAAGCCAUGCAUGUCUAAGUGUAAAUGACUCUACACAGUGGAACUGCGAAUGGCUCAUUAAAUCAGUUAUCGUUUAUUUGAUGGUCCCUUACUACAUGGAUAACCGUAGUAAUUCUAGAGCUAAUACAUGCACAAAGCCCCGACGCAAGAAGGGGUGUAUUUAUUAGAUUCAAAACCAAUCCGUGGCAACACGUGUCCUUGGUGAUUCAUGAUAACUUCUCGAACCGCAUGGCCUCGUGCUGGCGGUGAUUCAUUCAAAUUUCUGCCCUAUCAACUUUCGAUGGUAGGUAUUGGCUUACCAUGGUUUCAACGGGUAACGGGGAAUUAGGGUUCGAUUCCGGAGAGGGAGCCUGAGAAACGGCUACCACAUCCAAGGAAGGCAGCAGGCGCGCAAAUUACCCAAUCCCGACACGGGGAGGUAGUGACAAUAAAUACUGAUACAGGGCUCUUUUGGGUCUUGUAAUUGGAAUGAGUACAAUUUAAACCUCCUAACGAGGAACAAUU
rnacentral:rRNA from 1 species